AUAAGUGGAUGCCUUGCAAGGAUGAAUUGAUUGUACAAAAUAAAAUUUCCUAAACAUUCAUGAUAACAUUAUAUAAAUGAAUGCCUUACUUGUGGCUGAUUAAUUGUGUGAAGUUGAGGCUUUUUAUGAUAAAUUGAUGAGAAAAAGUUGAUAUUUUGGUAGAAAUUAAGUUAUUUGGGACUUUCUCAUGGAACUUGUAGU
rnacentral:misc_RNA from 1 species